GGUGGCCCAGUGGUAGAGUACUUGCCUUGCAUGCAUGAGGCCCUGGGUUCGAUUCCUCAGCACCA
rnacentral:tRNA from 1 species